rnacentral:lncRNA from 1 species
AAAAUCAAUUGGGGAAGAUAGCACAUGCGUUGAACAACCGUCCUCAAUACACUUGGCUCUAUGACAUGGAUGACGAGACUGAUGAUGAGCCUGAACCAAAUCUGCAAUCGGAUGUGCCAAAUGAUAUAGAUGUUGAAAGAGAGGAAAGACUUGGAGACCAACAAAAGGAGAUCGACAAAGAUCUAACUUUGAGUACCAACGAAGAUGAGCCAAUUUUGAUAGUGUCC